rnacentral:rRNA from 1 species
AGACCCGAAACCCGGUGAUCUAGCCAUGGGCAGGUUGAAGGUUGGGUAACACUAACUGGAGGACCGAACCGACUAAUGUUGAAAAAUUAGCGGAUGACCUGUGGCUGGGGGUGAAAGGCCAAUCAAACCGGGAGAUAGCUGGUUCUCCCCGAAAGCUAUUUAGGUAGCGCCUCGUGAAUUCAUCUCCGGGGGUAGAGCACUGUUUCGGCUAGGGGGCCAUCCCGGCUUACCAACCCGAUGCAAACUGCGAAUACCGGAGAAUGUUAUCACGGGAGACACACGGCGGGUGCUAACGUCCGUCGUGAAGAGGGAAACAACCCAGACCGCCAGCUAAGGUCCCAAAGUCAUGGUUAAGUGGGAAACGAUGUGGGAAGGCCCAGACAGCCAGGAUGUUGGCUUAGAAGCAGCCAUCAUUUAAAGAAAGCGUAAUAGCUCACUGGUCGAGUCGGCCUGCGCGGAAGAUGUAACGGGGCUAAACCAUGCACCGAAGCUGCGGCAGCGAACGUAUCACUUAAAGCGAUUCAGCGGAUGACGAUUGACGGAGCGAAGCGACGUCAAAGCGUAUACAAAGUCGAGUCGGUUUAAGGAUACGUUCGUUGGGUAGGGGAGCGUUCUGUAAGCCUGCGAAGGUGG